rnacentral:rRNA from 1 species
UACGUAGGAGGCGAACGUUAUCCGGAAUUACUGGGCGUAAAGCGCACGCAGGCGGCUUCGUAAGUCCGACGUGAAAGCUCCCGGCUUAACUGGGAGAGGCCGUUGGAUACUGCGGAGCUCGAGGUUAGGAGAGGAAAGUGGAAUUCCCGGUGUAGUGGUGGAAUGCGUAGAUAUCGGGAGGAACCCCAGUGGCGAAAGCGACUUUCUAGCCUACACCUGACGCUGAGGUGCGAAAGCGUGGGGAGCGAACAGG